CGAAUUGGUAUAUGAAAGAUUUCCUUGCUUAAUGGAUAAUCAUUUCCUUCCAAUACGAAAUUCUUUCUCGUUAAACAUAGAUUAAGCUUCGUCUUGGGGCAUGAGUUUAUAUAUAUAUAUAUUGGAAUUUUGCAGACACUCCCAAAUAUCAAAUGCUGGUAAAUGUGCAAUAUUCUCUACAACAAACACCAAUUUUUUUUGCAUUUUGGUUUG
rnacentral:misc_RNA from 1 species